rnacentral:rRNA from 1 species
CAACUGUGUGAAUUAAUGCAAACUGCAUACUGCUUUGAACAUCGACAUCUUGAACGCAUAUUGCGGCCAUGGGUUAGCCUGUGGCCACGCCUGUCCGAGGGUCGGCUUAUAAACUAUCACGACGCCCAAAAAGUCGUGGCUUGGGUUUUGCCAGCUGGCGUGAUCUCCUCUAUGAGUAAUCAUGUGAGGUGCCAGAUCUAUGGCGUUUCCCUAAUGUAUCCGGAUGCACCCUUGUCUUGGCAGAAAGCCGUGGUGAGGUGCAGUGGCGGAAUCGUGGUUUAAUAAUCGGGUUGGUACUCAGUUGUCAGUGUGUUYGGCGAUCCCCUAGUCGGCACACUYAUGAUUUCUGGGAUAAUUCCAUACCAGGCACGUUCCGUYACUGUYACUUUGUCAUUGGUUUGAUGCUGAACUUGGUCAUGUGUCUGAUGCUAUUUCAUAUARCGACGGUACCCUUCGUGGUCUGUCUUCCUGACCUCGGUUCAGACGUGAUUACCCGCUGAACUUAAGCAUAUCACUAA